UCCAGACUCCUACGGGAGGCAGCAGUGGGGGAUAUUGCACAAUGGGGGAAACCCUGAUGCAGCGACGCCGCGUGAGUGAAGAAGUAUUUCGGUAUGUAAAGCUCUAUCAGCAGGGAAGAAAAAAGACGGGACCUGACUAAGAAGCCCCGGCUAACUACGUGCCAGCAGCCGCGGUAAUACGUAGGGGGCAAGCGUUAUCCGGAUUUACUGGGUGUAAAGGGAGCGUAGACGGCAAUACAAGUCGGAAGUGAAAUACCCGGGCUCAACCUGGGAACUGCUUUGGAAACUGUAUGGCUGGAGUGCUGGAGAGGUAAGCGGAAUUCCUAGUGUAGCGGUGAAAUGCGUAGAUAUUAGGAGGAACGCCAGUGGCGAAGGCGGCUUACUGGACAGUAACUGACGUUGAGGCUCGAAAGCGUGGGGAGCAAACAGGAUUAGAUACCCCAGUA
rnacentral:rRNA from 1 species